UCAAAACUCUGCUCAAGAAUCACUUCAUGUGUGAAGCUGUCCAUUGAUGAGGUUUCUUGGCUACAUGUGUCUAAUUUUAUUUAGGUAAAUUUUCAGAAGAACCGGAUAAUUGGACAAUACUACAACACGUUUUUGACAUUCCAGUUCCUUACACAAAGCUGAGAGCUCCUUGAAGGAAUCAUCAGGCAAAGCCAGUACCAUCAGAGGUGUCCCUUGAAUGCCUUGGAUUUGAGAAAACCCAGGCUUCUGGAAGUAAUGACAGAGGAGCUGCAGCAAGAGACCCCUGUAUGGUGGCCUGGAGAAUAUGGCAUUUCCAUUCACAAACCA